rnacentral:rRNA from 1 species
AAAACAUCGCUCCUUGGUGCAGAUUUGAAUAAGGAGUCGGACCUGCCCGGUGACCUACGGGUUAAACGGCCGCGGUACACUGACCGUGCAAAGGUAGCACAAUCACUUGCCUUUUAAUUGGAGGCUGGUAUGAAUGGUUUGACGAGGGCUGAGCUGUCUCUCCUUGAAUAUUUAAAAAUUAACUUCUAGGUGAAAAGGCCUAGAUUAAGCUGAGGGACGAGAAGACCCUGUUGAGCUUUAGUGUGGAGUGGAGUGGUUGUUCCUAUUGUGAUAGAGGACUUUAGGUUUGUUCUUACAUCUUUAGUUGGGGUGACUAGGGAACAUAGAAAGCUUCUCUGUUGAUUUUGUGGAUUUUUAGUUUACUGACGAAUGAUCCAGCAUUGUUGAUUAUCGGAAAAAGUUACCACAGGGAUAACAGCGUAAUCUUUCUGGAGAGUUCACAUUGAAAGAAGGGUUUGCGACCUCGAUGUUGGAUUAAGGUGUCCUGAGGGUGUAGCAGCUUUCAUUGGUUGGUCUGUUCGACCAUUAAAACCUUACGUGAUCUG